rnacentral:rRNA from 1 species
UACGGGGGGGACAAGCGUUGUUCGGAAUUACUGGGCGUAAAGGGCUCGUAGGUGGCCAACUAAGUCAGACGUGAAAUCCCUCAGCUUAACUGGGGAACUGCGUCUGAUACUGGAUGGCUAGAGUCCGGAAGAGGCGAGUGGAAUUCCUGGUGUAGCGGUGGAAUGCGCAGAUAUCAGGAGGAACACCGAUGGCGAAGGCAGGUCUCUGGGCAUUAACUGACGCUGAGGAGCGAAAGCAUGGGGAGCGAACAGG